rnacentral:rRNA from 1 species
UUUGGCUAAUACCGCAUACGACCUACGGGUGAAAGGGGGGGAUCGCAAGACCUCUCGCUAUUGGAGCGGCCGAUGUCCGAUUACCUAGUCGGUGGGGUAAAGGCCUACCAAGGCAACGAUCGGUAGCUGGUCUGAGAGGACGAUCAGCCACACUGGGACUGAGACACGGCCCACACUCCUACGGGAGGCAGCAGUGGGGAAUUUUGGACAAUGGGGGAAA